GACGUAGGGGACGAGCGUUGUCCGGAUUUAUUGGGCGUAAAGAGCUCGUAGGCGGUGUGUCACGUCGGCCGUGAAAACCUGCAGCUUAACUGUGGCGUGCGGUCGAUACGGGCAUCACUGGAGUUCGGCAGGGGAGACUGGAAUUCCUGGUGUAGCGGUGAAAUGCGCAGAUAUCAGGAGGAACACCGGUGGCGAAGGCGGGUCUCUGGGCCGAUACUGACGCUGAGGAGCGAAAGCGUGGGGAGCGAACAGG
rnacentral:rRNA from 1 species